ACGGGAGGCAGCAGUGGGGAAUAUUGCACAAUGGGGGAAACCCUGAUGCAGCGACGCCGCGUGAGUGAAGAAGUAUCUCGGUAUGUAAAGCUCUAUCAGCAGGGAAGAAAAUGACGGUACCUGACUAAGAAGCCCCGGCUAACUACGUGCCAGCAGCCGCGGUAAUACGUAGGGGGCAAGCGUUAUCCGGAAUUACUGGGUGUAAAGGGUGCGUAGGUGGUAUGGCAAGUCAGAAGUGAAAACCCAGGGCUUAACUCUGGGACUGCUUUUGAAACUGUCAGACUGGAGUGCAGGAGAGGUAAGCGGAAUUCCUAGUGUAGCGGUGAAAUGCGUAGAUAUUAGGAGGAACAUCAGUGGCGAAGGCGGCUUACUGGACUGAAACUGACACUGAGGCACGAAAGCGUGGGGAGCAAACAGGAUUAGAUACCCUGGUA
rnacentral:rRNA from 1 species